rnacentral:rRNA from 1 species
AUUGAACGCUGGCGGCAUGCUUUACACAUGCAAGUCGAACGGUAACAGGCCUUCGGGUGCUGACGAGUGGCGAACGGGUGAGUAAUGCAUCGGAACGUGCCCAAUCGUGGGGGAUAACGUAGCGAAAGUUACGCUAAUACCGCAUAAGCCCUGAGGGGGAAAGGUGGGGACCGCGAAGGCCUCACGCGAAUGGAGCGGCCGAUGUCAGAUUAGCUAGUUGGUGGGGUAAAGGCCCACCAAGGCGACGAUCUGUAGCGGGUCUGAGAGGAUGAUCCGCCACACUGGGACUGAGACACGGCCCAGACUCCUACGGGAGGCAGCAGUGGGGAAUUUUGGACAAUGGGCGCAAGCCUGAUCCAGCCAUGCCGCGUGCGGGACGAA